rnacentral:rRNA from 1 species
UGAGGAAUAUUGGUCAAUGGGCGAGAGCCUGAACCAGCCACGUCGCGUGAAGGAAGACUGACCUUACGGUUUGUAAACUUCUUUUGUAGAGGGGUAAUGGCAGAUACGUGUAUUUGCGUGAAAGUACUCUACGAAUAAGCAUCGGCUAACUCCGUGCCAGCAGCCGCGGUAAUACGGGGGAUGCGAGCGUUAUCCGGAAUUAUUGGGUUUAAAGGGUGCGCAGGUGGCUAAUCAGGUCAGUGGUGAAAAGCUAUGGCUCAACCAUGGUCGUGCCAUUGAAACCGUAUAGCUAGAGAGGAGACGAGGUAGGCGGAAUGUGUGGUGUAGCGGUGAAAUGCAUAGAUAUCACACAGAACUCCGAUUGCGAAGGCAGCUUACCAGGCUUUAUCUGACACUUAGGCACGACAGCGUGGGGAUCAAACAGG